GCCGCCGGUGCCGCCCCCUCCGCUCCCGCCCCCGCCGGUGCCGCCGCCUCCGGUGCCUCCCCCGCCGGUGCCGCCGCCUCCGGUGCCGCCCCCGCCGGUGCCGCCCCCUCCGGUGCCGCCCCCUCCGGUGCCGCCGCCUCCGGUGCCGCCCCCUCCGCUCCCGCCCCCGCCGGUGCCGCCCCUCCGCUUCCGCUGCCGCCUCCACCACCAGAGGAUCCUCCGCCGCCUCCCCCACCGCUCCCACCCCCGCCGGUGCCGCCCCCACCGCCUCCGCUGCCGCCUCCACCACCACCACCACCGCCACCGCCGCCUGGGCUAGGACAGGUGCCGCACUUGCAGCCGCAGGCGUCGGCGAAGGCGAAGAAGAGGAGGUUGAGGGCCAGGAGCGUGGCGACCACGGAGGCUUUCUUCGCCGCCAUGCUGGCUUGCGGGCUAGCUAGUGCUUCUGCUAUCUCUGUGCCGCACUAGU
rnacentral:lncRNA from 1 species